GAAAGGAAGGCAAGAGGCUGGGCUCGGUGACUCAUGCGGCGGGAUAGAGCAGAGUUGAAAACGUGAGAGGUCGGGGAAAGGCGGUGCGUGUGUGGAGUGGAGCGCUUUUGGCGCACGCUUCGGGCUUCUUCUGUUCUGAGGCGGACGUGUGCCUCCACUCGGCCCUGGGUUUCGGUUUCCCCUGAAAAUAACCCGGGGUUUCUGCCUCCGCUUCCCUCCCAAGAAAGCCCUCCUCGUGCUCUGAGUCAGGGAAGAAGCUGUCCAAGGAUCCUGACCCGGCAUUGCAAGAUGUUGUAAAAUAAGCUAUCACAAGUAUGGGUUUGACUGAGAAGUUUAAAAAAUGACAAGCAAAGCAGGAAUGGAAACAUGAGGGAGGCACUCCAGCAAGACAGCGAUCCAAUAUUUAACAUCGGAUUGCCAGAAAGAGAGGUCCAGCAGCUUCAAGGUGAUUUCAGCCAAUACACAGCCUACUCUUUUUUUCUCUUUAUAGGCAUUUGGACUGAUCCAGUAGACCUCUUCUUGUCUAAGCUCUGAUAGAUGUGUGGUAUAUUGGUUUGAGUGUUGGACUAAUAUUGAGUAAUUUCAGCUUCAGGUGUCUCGGCAUGUCUAACUUCCCAGAAGACAAAAUCAGACACAGAUGGGUAGAAAGCAAAAGCAGAGGUUUAGUCUCAAUGGCCAGAGAAGAUGUCAGCAGAGAAAGCACUCCAAAGUACUGACAUACCUCAAUUGUAAACCCAGAGCAUUUUUAAUUUCAUUUGACAGCUAUUCAAGAAAACUGCACCACCUCUGGAUUGUUCAAAAAACUGUCCAGCUAGGAUCCGUGUUCUGAUUGGCUUAGGACUCUGUCGGAUGUCAUCACUAGUUGGCUCUUUGUGGUGAUGAAAAGUCAAUAAGCUGUCAUUUGAGUAUUUGAAGUGUCAGCCCAUUUAAAGGUCCCCCUCAGAGAGGAGCACAAUCCAAAAAGAAUGUGAUGUGCCAAUAUACUUAAUGAGGUAGCUCUAGGUAACACAAUAAGGUUAGUUCAGUGUACACAAUGGAUACUUGGGGAUGAUGACCAUUUCAAAAGGGGUGGUAGGCUUGAAACAUGAGUGCUGGAUCUUUUCCACAGAUAGCCCUGAGGCAUCAUUUUGACACCUCAGGUAAAUCCUUGACAGGUCACAAGAUCUGUCUGGAAGGGUCCACAGGCAUGCCACAGUUUAAAGAAGCAGAUCUGUUCCUGGGCAUUCUUUAAGAGAAAUUUGGUACAAGAAACAUGGAAACAUGGAAAGAAUAGGAAGAGCAUAACCUACAAUAUUUCACAGAUGAAAAUUGAAUUAUACAUGGACAAGCAACAUCAGAAUGCUAAUAAAAUGGAUACUUCUAUAACAAAACAAAACAAAAAAACCUCUGGUUUCAGAAAGGAGAAAAUGAAGGGUCUUGAAAAGUGUAAAAAGACUUCAGUAGGUUGCCAUUGUCAAAGCUACCAUCCCAUUUGGAAUAAUGAAGGAAUAAGCUACCUCCAUAGGAAUGGAUCCAGUAAGUAACCCUUAGGUUCUGGGACCAAUUUCCUUCUGGCAGCUUUUUAGGGUACUUCCAGACAGCACCAAAAUCCAGAUUUUAAAUGGGAGGUUAAAAAAAUCAUACCCUGACUGCAGGUCUCUACACAGACUUCUUAGUCCCAGGAUUGGAUCCUCCGCAAUCCUCACAGGCUUACUCUGUAUUGGAACAAGAUUGAGGGCAGACAGGGAACAUCCAGUGUAAUUUUUAAAGACAAAAAUCAUGCCAUUUUGCUGGACUGUAUAUAUGCACAUGCAAGUAUCUUAAUAUAAAUAUAAGCAGAUUCGUAUGUGUGCAUAUGAGGUUCAGUGCAUAAUGGAGGGAUUUAAAAAACAAACUUCAGCUGGAUCUCUCCCUCCAAUUGAUACUUCAAGCUCUGUUUAAUAUCAUAAAAU